rfam:Streptomyces sp. Root264 contig_1, whole genome shotgun sequence.
UAGCUCAAUUGGCAGAGCAGCCGGCUGUUAACCGGCAGGUUACUGGUUCGAGUCCANN